GAUGAACGCUGGCGGCGUGCCUAAUACAUGCCAGUCGAGCGAACAGACGAGGAGCUUGCUCCACUGACGUUAGCGGCGGACGGAUGAGUAACACGUGGAUAACCUACCUAUAAGACUGGGAUAACUUCGGGAAACCGGAGCUAAUACCGGAUAAUAUAUUGAACCGCAUGGUUCAAUAGUGAAAGACGGUUUUGCUGUCACUUAUAGAUGGAUCCGCGCCGCAUUAGCUAGUUGGUAAGGUAACGGCUUACCAAGGCAACGAUGCGUAGCCGACCUGAGAGGGGGUACCGCCACUGUGGAACUGAGACACGGUCCAGACUCCUAGGGGAGGCCGCAGCAGGGAAUCUUCCGCAAUGGGCGAAAGCCUGACGGAGCAACGCCGCGUGAGUGAUGAAGGUCUUCGGAUCGUAAAACUCUGUUAGUAGGGAAGACCAAAUGUGUAAGUAACUAUGCACGUCUUGACGGUACCUAAUCAGAAAGCCACGGCUAACUACGUG
rnacentral:rRNA from 1 species